UACGUAGGGGGCAAGCGUUGUCCGGAUUCAUUGGGCGUAAAGAGCGUGUAGGCGGCCAGGUAGGUCGGUUGUGAAAACUGGAGGCUCAACCUUCAGAGGUCGACCGAAACCAUCUGGCUAGAGUCCGGGAGAGGAGAGUGGAAUUCCUGGUGUAGCGGUGAAAUGCGCAGAUAUCGGGAAGAACACCCGUGGCUAAGGCGGCUCACUGGCCCGGUACUGACGCUGAGGUGCGAAAGCGUGGGGAGCAAACAGG
rnacentral:rRNA from 1 species